AUGUAUUCUAUAGCCAAAUAAUUACAGUAAAGCACAUUUAUUUGCUCACACAUUCCACAAAAAUAACUUUUAACCGCCCCUCGUUUGCUAUUUGGUAUAGUCCCCAGCACUUUUAGAGUAGGUACAUAUGGAGUGCCAAUGCAAAAUAGAUCCACGCCAUGCAUUCGUGAAGGUAUUUCCUUUUUCCUGAAAAAUGGCGAAUUGCCCUCCCCUCGUUCGUGUCCCUGCAUCACGCGUGACCCACGAAGGGAUGCAAUCGCAAUAAUAAGCAACUCCCUUCCUUAAAUGCAACCUGACUUUUCCACAUUUUUUCGCCUCCCCGGCAAAUCAAUCCAAAAAGCCAGAAAAGUCGAUCCCCAUACGGUCCAUAUGUCAAAGAUCGUCUCCGCGGGCGCGAUCACUUACUUGUCUGCCUCCUGUGACAUAUUUCGCCUCCUCUACGCUUCUGCCUGGUGGAACUGGACUUUCAAGUCGGAGCAGGUGAUAAGAGGGAGCGAGUUGCCAGAAGUUGGUGUACAGGCUUGGAUUGGAAACAUUCUUUCACAGAAGGUGAGGUCACCGCUGAUUGGCUCGCCACUGCGCACACCUGCCUCCUGAUUGGCUGGUGGCCCAGGCAAGGAGGAGAGAAACCGCUUGUUGAGACUUGGCCUCGGUUUUGGACUCAGCCUGUUUGGAACCUCCAGGAACUCCAGACGAGUGCAGACAUGGUAGGAUGGGUCGACUUGUCCUUCAAAAGGACAGAGUUUUGUGAUACUGAACAAUGUAUAGGUUUUGUUUUCUUCAACUACUUUGGCACGUGUUGCAUCCAUGAAAUUCAAAGUUAAUUAUUAUUUGCAAAAAAAAAUAAAGUUUAUGAGUUUGAACAUCAAAUAUGUUGUCUUUGUAGUGCAUUCAAUCAAAUAUGGGUUGAAAAGGAUUUUCAAAUCAUUAUAUUCUGUUUAUAUUUACAUCUGACACAAUUUCCCAACUCAUAUAGAAACGGGGUUCGUAGUUUGUCCUGAAGAAUUUGGAGGUAAUCCUCCUUUUCCAUUAUCCCAUUUACUCUCUGUGAAGCACCAGUUCCAUUAGCAGCAAAACAGGCACAGAGCAUAAUACUACCACCACAAUGCUUGACGGUAGGCCUGGUGUUUCUGGGAUUAAAUGCCUCACCUUUUCUCCUCCAAACAUACUGUUGGGUAUUGUGACCAACAGCUCAAUUGUUGUUUCACCUGACAUCACAUGGACAAAGAUAAGAUCUUCUGGAGGAAAGUUCUGUGGUCAGAUGAAACAAAAAUUUCGAUUCAAACAUGGUUGAAAACUCACAUGUUUAUUUUUGCCAACAUUAAAGUCAGUUUAGGGUCUUCACCAAACCUAAUAUACUUUAUGUACAUAAGGGACACCACUUCAUAUGUCACGAUCUGGAUUGGGUGUUGUUAGUCUCGACCCCAGAAUGCAAAGACAACUAGCAAAGUCCAGGUAAAAUGUAUUAAUUAGCAGAAAUAAAUAGUGUAGCACGGAACCAAACAAAGUAAAUGAUCCAGCCCAGUCCAGAGUGAAAAGCAUUGUGAUUUACAAUCAGGGACAGGUACGGGAGAGCUAGCGCUCAGACAAGGGAAGUGGUAGAGGCAAACAGGAAUUGUAAAACAAAAAUAAGAGCGCUUGAGAGGAAAUAAAUUCAGAAACUGAGGAAACUAAUAAUGAAGUUCAAACUGUCAUGUGAGAUCAUGACAAUAUCACAUCAACUAUCAUAGAAAGUUAUCUCCAGUGCACCUAUGAUGUAAAGGAUAUUAGCCAGUUCCACUGAAAGUCGGGGGAUGUGUUUAAUGCUUUGGAUCACAUGGUGUUCUUUUAAUAUCAAUUUGCCUCAAUGUUUACAAAAACAUGUUAGAUUGCUGCAAAUUUUACCAUGGUAGAAACGUGAGGUGGUAUGCUUUAGAUCCUGAAUCUUUUGCCAUCAUUCCUUUUCACAUUUGAAAGAUACAGAGCCAAUUCCCUGUGCCUGGGAAUUGAUACCGGUAUGCAACAUUAUCGAUUGUCUGUACAUGUGUGUGUUUUAAUAUGUUAAUAAAUAUUUAAUAAAAAGUAUAUUCAAUUAAACAUUUAACAAUGAGCUGAUUAUGACAAGUUGUCCAGUAGUUAUAUCCUGUUUUCUAACACUUCUAAGUCUCAUGUGCGUGUAUUAUGUAGUAGACUUUGCAUUCAGUUUCAAAUCCCAGAUUUUCGAUGGCAGUAGUUUAUACUAUGUUGUGUUGUCUUGUCAAGAAGGAAUCUUUGCCAUGAACCUGAAUGUGCCAGUCCAGUCUUUUGGUGUGCUCUAAAAAGUAUUUAUACUGUAAGUAUUGUAUUUAUACCACACUAGCAGUUUGAUUGUAACGGGCAUCUUAAAUGUUGUUUUCAUUCCUAAAGCAGAAUCCGCAUUUGUGUCAAUAAAGUGAAAUUAUGUCUCAAAAAACCC